AUAAUGUACGGUGCUGAGGAUUCGAAUUCAGAAAAGAAGUUGAGAGUAGGUUAAUUGCUUUCUGAAUCCUUUCUGUUGCAGAUAGAUAGUGCAUUGUGGUCCAUUUGUACAAGAAUUUAGCGAACUAAUCAUUCCAGAGAGAAAUUGAUAGUGGUAUUGGUUAAGUCAAUGAAGAAUCCAAGGACUGCUCUGAUCAAGACCUCCGAAGUCAAUGAAGAAUCCAAGGACUGCUCUCAUGAUCAAGACCUCCAUCAUGGCUUUCGGCUGAUAUCUUCAAUGCCUUUGGUGACAGUUUGCUUGACUCCACCACCGCUGAUGCAUUUGACCAAUUGCUGUUGCAAUUGCUGCUGGAGGCCUCACAAGACAAGACGUUUGUUUGCGAAGAAGCAGACAAGGCGCUAAGAGCAGUGGUGAAGUAUUUGACAACUCUGCCUCUGCUUCAUAGGCUUAAAGGCUAUGUCACCCAUGCCCACCUCAAAGAAACUAUAGGGAGAAGCAGAAGAGGAAUUAGUCAUGCAACAAGAAAUCAAGACCGCUGAUAUGAACAGUGCUUAGGAACAGAAUAGGAGAUUUAGUAUAGCUAUACUGAAAACACUGAAUUAGUUUUUGUCAUCAGAACCAACCAACUCGUUUCUGUACGUGUGACCAAUACUGAAGUCAUGUUUUCUGCAGUAAAUGAGGAGGUUAUUUACAGGACAGAGGUAGUUAGCACCAUUCAAUUUUAAAAUUUCUUCCCAAAGUUUCUUUGUGAUUUGCAAUUUAUCUGUGGCAGCAAGUUUGUUGUUUAAUAUUGUGACAGCUUACUACAGUAUGUUAGUUAUGGUUACCAUAUUAGUUUGCAGAUACACACAGCAUUAGAAAAUAAAUGCGAGUUCUAAUUUUAAUAGCAUGAUCCGUCAUGCUCUGAUUACAACUUUUUAUAUUGUUUUUUUUUUUUAAAGACAUUUGCGGAUUUGCCUAUGCUUAGAUUUAUCAAAAAAGAGUCGUUUUGUAACUAUGCCUUUAUGUUUGUUCUUUGAUGAUGUACUGCUUUAGGAUUCAUUAAAGUUCGAAAAUAUCUGCAGAAAAGGUAUCUUUGAUGUUGAUCAUUUCAUUGAUUACCUGAAGGAGGAUGUACGAAUUGUUCGUGACAAUUCCACAGAGCCUUACUGAGCUCUUCUUUAGCAUUUUGUGGAUUAAAUUCAAAAUCGACUAUCUGUGUUUCAUGGUGAAUAAGUUCUUUUGUUUUGAUAUUCCUAGUUUUAUUGCGGCAGAAGUAAUGGUUGUCAUUACAGUUAUAGAGAUUGCUUGGUUUCGCGAUUGGAAACACAUAUGGCUAGAGGUAGAUUCAUCUAUUGUAUUGGAUUAUAUUCGCUCUCCUUCUCUUGUGCAUUGGCAACUUUGAGUACGUUGGUUAAAUUGCUUAUAUAGGAUCUCAUAUGUGAACUUCAAAUCUUCCAACAUAUGUAGAGAAGGGAAUAAGGUAGCAGAUGCUCUAGCUAAUCAUGGAACAUCUUUAUCGGAGCAAGUAUGGUGGGAUAUGCCUCCUCCAUUUCUCUUGUCGUUCUAUGAGAGUGAUGUUUUGGGUCUUCCACAAUUUAGAUUUCGUUGACUUGUUUGGUUUUGUUUGUUUAUUCUGGAGGUUUUGGUUAGAUCUCCCUCCAUUGUCAUUUGCAUUUUUUUGGCUUAAUAAAUUGGAGUGUUAGAGAGAUUGCUCAUCAGCUAUCACUCAUUGCAUAAAAUUAAAUAAAUAAAAGUUCUUUUGUUUUGAUUAUGUAUCUCUGUAAUUUGUAUGAAGGGCAUUCUAACCAAAGAUAUCCCUUUUUCGGAAAUUAUAUAUAUAGAAGCUUGGUUAUCCUCAAAAAAUAUAUAUAGAAGCUUGGUUAAAAUAUUAGCGCCUGCUCAACACUUUCAAAUAUGUUCAAGUCUUGUUAAAAUAUCAACUUUUAUAAUAUGUAGAACAAUAACAAAUUCGGUUAACAUUUAUUAGAUUGUGAUUACUAUUCU